GGCUAUACUGCAGUCGAGCGGACAGAUGGGAGCUUGCUCCCUGAUGUUAGCGGCGGACGGGUGAGUAACACGUGGGUAACCUGCCUGUAAGACUGGGAUAACUCCGGGAAACCGGGGCUAAUACCGGAUGGUUGUUUGAACCGCAUGGUUCAGACAUAAAAGGUGGCUUCGGCUACCACUUACAGAUGGACCCGCGGCGCAUUAGCUAGUUGGUGAGGUAACGGCUCACCAAGGCGACGAUGCGUAGCCGACCUGAGAGGGUGAUCGGCCACACUGGGACUGAGACACGGCCCAGACUCCUACGGGAGGCAGCAGUAGGGAAUCUUCCGCAAUGGACGAAAGUCUGACGGAGCAACGCCGCGUGAGUGAUGAAGGUUUUCGGAUCGUAAAGCUCUGUUGUUAGGGAAGAACAAGUGCCGUUCAAAUAGGGCGGCACCUUGACGGUACCUAACCAGAAAGCCACGGCUAACUACGUGCCAGCAGCCGCGGUAAUACGUAGGUGGCAAGCGUUGUCCGGAAUUAUUGGGCGUAAAGGGCUCGCAGGCGGUUUCUUAAGUCUGAUGUGAAAGCCCCCGGCUCAACCGGGGAGGGUCAUUGGAAACUGGGGAACUUGAGUGCAGAAGAGGAGAGUGGAAUUCCACGUGUAGCGGUGAAAUGCGUAGAGAUGUGGAGGAACACCAGUGGCGAAGGCGACUCUCUGGUCUGUAACUGACGCUGAGGAGCGAAAGCGUGGGGAGCGAACAGGAUUAGAUACCCUGGUAGUCCACGCCGUAAACGAUGAGUGCUAAGUGUUAGGGGGUUUCCGCCCCUUAGUGCUGCAGCUAACGCAUUAAGCACUCCGCCUGGGGAGUACGGUCGCA
rnacentral:rRNA from 1 species